rnacentral:rRNA from 1 species
GACGAACGCUGGCGGCGUGCCUAACACAUGCGAGUCGAACGAAGCUUGACGAUUGAUUUCUUCGGAAUGAUUUCAGAUAUGACUGAGUGGCGGACGGGUGAGUAACGCGUGAGCAACCUGCCCCUUCAGAGGGGGAGUAGCGUCUGGAAACGGGAACGGUAAUACCGCAUAACGUAUUUUGUAUGGCAUCAUCGAAAUAACCAAAGAUUUAUCGCUGAAGGAUGGGCGUCGCGUCUGAUUAGAUAGUUGGUGGGGUAACGGGCCUACCAAGUCGACGAUCAGUAGCCGGACUGAGAGGUUGAACGGCCACAUUGGGACUGAGACACGGCCCAGACUCCUACGGGAGGCAGCAGUGGGGAAUAUUGCACAAUGGGCGCAAGCCUGAUGCAGCAACGCCGCGUGAAGGAAGACGGUCUUCGGAUUGUAAACUUCUGUUCUUAGCGAAGAAUAAUGACGGUAGCUAAGGAGCAAGCCACGGCUAACUACGUGCCAGC